UGCCAGCCGCAGCGGUAAUACGGAGGGUGCAAGCGUUAAUCGGAAUUACUGGGCGUAAAGCGUCUGUAGGCGGCUUAUCAAGUCGGAUGUGAAAUCCCAGGGCUUAACCUUGGAACUGCAUUCGAAACUGGUUCGCUAGAGUAUGUGAGAGGGUAGUGGAAUUUCUAGUGUAGCGGUGAAAUGCGUAGAUAUUAGAAGGAACAUCAGUGGCGAAGGCGACUGCCUGGCACAAUACUGACGCUCAGAGACGAAAGCGUGGGGAGCAAACAGGAUUAGAUA
rnacentral:rRNA from 1 species